rnacentral:rRNA from 1 species
UAGUAACUGCGAGUGAAGCGGGAAAAGCUCAAAUUUAAAAUCUGGCGGUCUUUGGCCGUCCGAGUUGUAAUUUAGAGAAGCGUCUUCCGCGUCGGGCCGUGCACAAGUCUCCUGGAAUGGAGCGUCAUAGAGGGUGAGAAUCCCGUCUCUGGCAUGGACCUCCGGUGCUUCUGUGAUGCGCUCUCAAAGAGUCGAGUUGUUUGGGAAUGCAGCUCAAAAUGGGUGGUGAACUCCAUCUAAAGCUAAAUAUUGGCGAGAGACCGAUAGCGAACAAGUACCGUGAGGGAAAGAUGAAAAGCACUUUGGAAAGAGAGUGAAACAGUACGUGAAAUUGUUGAAAGGGAAACGCUUCAAGUCAGUCGCGUCGACCGAGACUCAGCCUCGCCUUGGCUUGGUGUACUUCUCGGCUGACGGGCCAGCAUCAAUUUUGUCCCUCGGAUAAUGGCAAGGGAAAGGUGGCACCCUCACGGGUGUGUUAUAGUCUCCUGUCGCAUGCGAGGGGUGGGAUUGAGGACCUCAGCACGGCCUCUCGGCGUCGGGGCUUCGGCCCACGCUACGUGCUUAGGAUGUUGGCGUAAUGGCUUUAAACGACCCGUCUUGAAA